rnacentral:rRNA from 1 species
CCUAAGGCGAGGCCGACAGGCGUAGUCGAAUGGAUGAACGGGUUGAUAUUCCCGUACCGGUGUUACACCGUUCGAACUGAAUCUGAGAGUACUAACCUUCGUUAUUCUGGUUGAUUGCCUUUCGGGGUUUUCUUCUGGUUUAGUGUUGGGAGCGUAUCGGUAGUAGGUUAGCGUGGGAGUGACGCGGGUAGGUAGCCGGCUGCGGAGGUGGUUUUCCGUGGCUAAGCGUGUGGGCUGUCUCCUAGGUAAAUCCGGGGGAUGUUAAGCUGAGGCGUGAUGGGUAGGCUGUAAGGCUGAUUCCGGUGAUCCUGCUUGCCGAGAAAAGCUUCAACGUGAGGUGUGAUUCCGCUCGUA